UACGUAGGGGGCUAGCGUUGUCCGGAAUCAUUGGGCGUAAAGCGCGUGUAGGCGGUUCGGUAAGUCCGCUGUGAAAGUCGGGGGCUCAACCCUCGGAUGCCGGUGGAUACUGUCGGACUAGAGUACGGAAGAGGCGAGUGGAAUUCCUGGUGAAGCGGUGAAAUGCGCAGAUAUCAGGAGGAACACCGGUGGCGAAGGCGGGUCUCUGGGCCGAUACUGACGCUGAGGAGCGAAAGCGUGGGGAGCGAACAGG
rnacentral:rRNA from 1 species